rnacentral:lncRNA from 1 species
ACAGGUCCAAAAUUAGAUAAUAUUUCUUCUCAAAAGAAAAAGAAAGAUAAUAAAAUACUUGGCCCCCUACGCCGAUAGUCCAUCCAAAUAAUCCAAAAGUUGUGCCCGUACGCAGCGGACUCCAACUGGCAUUCAGUUAAUUAAUUGGAUUGGAAAAUUCUACUCAGGUCCGCCGCUUCUACGAGCUAUUGACUAUUGAGUUGUAAUUUUGAGGCUAUUUAGCGUGGCACCGAUUGCGGGAGUAUAAAAGGUGAUUCUAUGUGGUGGGCCCCACUGGCUGGAGAGUAAUGAGAUAAAGUAAUCAUGUCCUGAGCAGAGCUGGUGGGGUCGCCGAUUUGUCCGCCACCCACGGGGUACCCGCACCCUCAUCUCCCUCAAACCGUUUUG